rnacentral:rRNA from 1 species
UCGAACGGUAACAGGCCGCAAGGUGCUGACGAGUGGCGAACGGGUGAGUAAUGCAUCGGAACGUGCCCAGUCGUGGGGGAUAACGCAGCGAAAGCUGUGCUAAUACCGCAUACGAUCUGUGGAUGAAAGCGGGGGACCGUAAGGCCUCGCGCGAUUGGAGCGGCCGAUGUCAGAUUAGGUAGUUGGUGGGGUAAAGGCUCACCAAGCCGACGAUCUGUAGCUGGUCUGAGAGGACGACCAGCCACACUGGGACUGAGACACGGCCCAGACUCCUACGGGAGGCAGCAGUGGGGAAUUUUGGACAAUGGGCGCAAGCCUGAUCCAGCAAUGCCGCGUGCAGGAAGAAGGCCUUCGGGUUGUAAACUGCUUUUGUACGGAGCGAAAAGGCUCUCUCUAAUACAGGGGGCUCAUGACGGUACCGUAAGAAUAAGCACCGGCUAACUACGUGCCAGCGGCCGCGGUAAUACGUAGGGUGCAAGCGUUAAUCGGAAUUACUGGGCGUAAAGCGUGCGCAGGCGGUUUUGUAAGACAGGCGUGAAAUCCCCGGGCUCAACCUGGGAAUGGCGCUUGUGACUGCAAGGCUGGAGUGCGGCA